UUUGAAAUUGGAUGAUUUGACUAUUUGAU
rnacentral:piRNA from 1 species